rnacentral:rRNA from 1 species
AGCUCCAAUAGCGUAUAUUAAAGUUGCUGCAGUUAAAAAGCUCGUAGUUGCAUUUCCGAGGCAAGGGAUUAGUCCGACCUUUGGUGGGUAUUUAAUCCUCUUGCCUCGUCCUUGAGUGGUGCUUCUUGGUAUUAAGUUAUCGAGGAGAUAGCCGCUCAUCGUUUACUGUGAGAAAAUUAGAGUGUUCAAAGCAGGCUUAUGCCGUUGAAUAUAUUAGCAUGGAAUAAUAAGAUAGGACCUCGGUACUAUUUUGUUGGUUUGAGAACCAAGGUAAUGAUGAAUAGGGACAGUUGGGGGUAUUCGUAUUCAGUUGUCAGAGGUGAAAUUCUUAACUACUGCGAAAGCAUUUACCAAGGAUGUUUUCA